AAGCACGAAGGGGAGCCUGGGCUCCCCUUCAAGGUAUGUCUCUAUGCUCUUUUUUGUUUUUCGGGAGGCCUGUUGUUGUUUUUGGCGACCUGACCCUUCACAUCUUUUUUGAGCGGUCCAGAGGCUGGACCAAGAGCAAACGUAUUUUUUUGAGCGCUGAUGUCACUUUCAUCGUGCUUUCUAUCGCAACGAUUCAACCAGUUCCGGAGCUGCCUCAGGGCAGUU
rnacentral:sRNA from 1 species